AGUUCUGGUUUGUGGGUUCUGGUUCCUCCCUAUUGAAUGGCAGUUUACGUGUAUAAAAUGCAAGAGAUAUUUUCGUACAUUAUUCAUCAGCGCAUCAAUAUGCUAAAGAUGGCUUGUGUGCCAGUCAUUUAGAAUUGCAAAACUUUAUAAAGACUGCACCAAUUUUUAUUUAGGUGAGCAAUGGAAAAACGCCAUGACCUACGACGAGGACUCCAUGGAGUGCAGCAAGAGCUUCUUCAAUGCCUUGCACAAAAAUUCAGUUUCCUUCUCAAUUAGGUUUGUUUAUGCGAUUCUGAUUUAGCUAACGCAGGAAGAAUCGGUCNCCGUGAGUAUCAAUUGCUAAUUGAGUAGUUAUCAAAAUUUGUUGGGAGUGUAUUUGGAGCGCCCCAAAUGGGAAUCCAAUCAUAGCCUUUGUCCUUAAAGUAGUAAAACUUAUGUAAGUAANUGCCAAUGUGUUAAAANAUUCCAGUUUAGUCACUAAGUUGGUAUUUUUUGUAGCAUUCAGUGACCAAUUUGAUGAAUUUUUCAGUACUUGAGGGACUAUUUUUCACGAUUUAUAAUGCUUGGAGUAUUACUUGUAUAUAUUUCCUUCUUUAGGGGCCACAUAGGAGAGAGAGUAAUGCUCUAGGGAUGAAAUUUAGGGUUUAUUCCAAGCUUACUAUGUCUGAUUGGUUGUGAUUGGAUGACCAUGUAUAAAAUUACACUAUUAGUGCAUAUAUUAUUUAUUCUUAUGAUAUAUGGUUUGGAAAAUCCUUAGUCAUACAUGGCGUGUGAUUUCUGAAUGUAGGUGCAGUAGCUGCUUUGUUGACACNUGUUGAAAAUGGCACUUCUCACAAGCAGGUGAAUGCUGAAUUAUUGUCUAUUAAGUCCCCAAAGGAGUCUCUAGUUGAAGACGGUUUUGAAAAGGAUGAAAAUGAGUCCAUUGUUAGUAUUACGGUUGUUGGAGCCUCUGGUUGCUAAGAAGAUAUUUCCAACUCUCUUUGCACUUUACUAUGAGGAACAAAGUUAAUACUGCUAUAAUCCUAAUUUUUUUUCUUCGACUUAGUCAGUUGCCUGGAUCCGACUCUUUGAUAAACAACACUACAAUUAUUAUUCUUUUAAAUCCCAAUCAGUUUUGGCUUGAAUCUACUCUAGAACCCAUCAAAUCCUAAAUCCAAAGUUUGCCGACUGCUAACAGUCGGGAGCACCACUCAAAAUCAAUAACUGAGCACAAAAAUGUGAGAUGCACCUAAAGCUGUUUAUCUUCAGCAUGGAAUCUUUGAUUCUCAAUGGGUUGCUUGGAUGCCAGAAUGAUGUUAUGACAAUAGUGGUAGUCUAAUAAGCUAAACUUUUUUGGUUCAGUUGAGUAUCUAGCGGUUUGUCGACUUUCCGACCUUGGCAGCCUAUGAUCAAGGUCUGUUACAUCAGUCAAAAUAGUAUGUGCAUCUCAAGAUAAUAUCUAUUUUUGAAGAAUUAUUACAUGUAUGUUUGUUGUUAUUAGGCUUGGCUUUGAUGUAUUUCUGGGAAAUAUUUGUGGCCUGGGUUUUAGGGAACAUGUCAACAAGAAUAUCUCCUCUCGUAAGUGCUCAAAGCAAAACAUUUUCAUUUGUCUUGUGUGGUCUUACACAAUGUAGUUGAUUCUAAUUAGCAGGAUGCUUUAUCUUUCUAGAAGCCAAACAUAGAAUAAUUCAUAAACUAGAAAAUCUCUUCAACUAAGUGAAAUUUGCCUGUCUCUUUUCUUGUCCAAUAGUGAAAUAUAUGUAACUAGUCUAUACUAAUUAGAGUAAUUAGAGUUAGUAUUAUAGUUGUGUAAAUUUGAGUGACAUCCCACCAAAGAGGAAAUGGCUUGAACAAUCUAUUGUCCCUUUGCAGUCAUAGUCCAUAGGUUAAAUAAUAGUUUAUGUUAAAUAUAUUAUCUUUAUCUUUUACCUUUAUUAGUUAGUUUGUUGAUAUUUCUUAUUUAGUUUGUUGUUAUUUCUUAUUUGUAUUUUAGAUUUAGUCCAUAUUUGUUUUAUUAUAAAUAAAGGACUCUAUGUGUGUAUUGAACACAAGGGAGUUUUCACUAUAUUCAACUUGGUAUCAGAGCGAUUCGAUCCCGCUCUGGUUUCUGUCUCGCCACUGUUCGUUGCCGGCUGCCACCUUUGCCGGCCACCGUUUCCGGCCAUCGCCGCCGACCACCGUCUCCGGCCACCGUCGCUGGCUGUCCGUCAUCACCGACCACCGUUGCCGGCUAUCCACAUUCGCUGGCAUUCACCUUUCGUUGGUGCACUUCAUCUUCUUCAAAGAUGACGUCUAACAAUACUCUUUCUUUCUCCGGAAGUCCAUUAAUUGCCUUUGAAAAGCUAAAUGGAAAAAAUUAUCUAUCAUGGUCUGCUGCCGUUGAAAUGUGGUUCCUUGGCCAAGGGCAUUAUGAUCACCUUGAGCGAGAUGGAAGCCAUGUGCUUGUUGAAAAAGCUGAUCAGGGGAAACAAGCAGAUUUCCAGUUGUGUGCCCUAUUAUGGCAAUCAGUGGAACCCAUACUUCUUAUAUCUCUGAGGGCUUUCAAAACUUGUCAUUCCUUUUGAAAGAAAGUUCAAAGCAUCUAUGCCAACGAUAUUCAACUUCACUAUGACACUACAAACAAACUUGCAACUCUUAAAAUGACAAACCAUGAUAGUGUGUCUUUCAUGGCUGAAGCCCAAUUUGCUGUCGAAGAACUCAAGAUGUUUUUGGAAGCGGAUCCGUUAGUGGAUAUCAAGAAGAAACUAGACAAAUUUUACAUGGUGUUGAUUCUUCGUGCCCUGCAUCCCGAUUAUGAUAAUCUUAGAGAUCAACUUCUAACCAGUCAUGAGGUCCCCUCCAUGGAAACAUUGACCACUUGCCUUCUGCGUGUCCCGGUAUCUCAAACUCAGGAAGCAUAUGAACUAGUGGAGCCAUCUGUCAUGGUUGUCACACGAGGAAGAUGAGGACGUGGCACUAGAGGAGGAGGACGAGGAGGUCGGGACGUCAAUGCACAUAUUGAAAAAGGAUGGGUCACACUCAAGAGAAUUGCUACUACUUACAUGGUUUCCCUUCCAAAACUGCCAAUAUUUCAAAGACUGAAACUUCCACUACGAAUUCAAAGAGUGAAAUUUUCACUACUAAGUUCACUGAAGAUGAAUAUCAAGAGUAUCUAAGGUUAAAGUCUAACAGGUUGUCACAACCAUCUCAAUCUCCAAGUACAUCAACAACCUACGUUUCUCAAUCCAUGGAAGGUCAAAAUUCAUGGGUAAUUGACUCAGGUGCUUCUGAUCACAUUUUUGGUAAUACCUCUCUGUUCUCAUCUAUUUCCUUUCGAGAAAAACCUCAUUUCAUAACUUUUGCAAAUGGUUCUAAAACUUUCUCCAAGGGAGUUGGUCAUGUUUUCUUGUCUCCUUCCCUAAAUCUCAACUCUGUCCUUUUUGUCCCUAAUUGUCUUUUUAAUUUAAUUUCCUAAGCUAGUUGAUUAAAAUCUUAAAUUGUUCAAUAACCUUUGAUCACAAAAAACUUACCUCCUAGAUUUAUGUAACCAAUAAAUAAUACAUUUCUAUUCUGAAAAGACAAGACUUUUAGAAAAAAGAUUUACGGAAUAGAAAGGAAUGAGAGAGACAAACAAGUAAUAUCAUAUCUAUUAUAAUCAAAUUACACUUGUUAAAAAANUUCAAACUAAAAGUUUAAUAAAAAUAACCCUAGACUUCUAACCUUAUCAAAAUCUUAGGAGAGUCAAUUUCAACUAUUAUAAACAUACGUUCACAAUUUUGUAGUAGUUUAAAANUGAGUAAAAAAGUUUCAACAGUAACUCUUCAUUUAUCACUAGUCAAAUUUAAAACUUAUAUAAUAAUUUUUCUAGAAAAUAGUUUGUAGGUUUUGUAAUAAAACUUUUNANAUAACUUUAUGCAGAUAAAAAUAAAAUAAUGAAAAAGUUUAUAUGAGAAAAAAAUUACCCUAAAAGUGUUUAAGAAAAAGUUUGGUCUAACAAAAGUCCGUUGCUUCAUUGAAGGCAUAAUGAACAUAGAAAUCCUUUUUAUUCCAUAAACUUUUACAUAUCUUCAUAAAUAUCAUGAAUNACCUAAGUCAACAUAAGAUCUCGUUACAUUCAUCAACUGUGCAAAUGCUUGUAUCCUACUAGUAUAAAUAGAUGACCACGCUUGUGUCUGAGGAUAACAGUGGGUUGAGGAGAUGAUAUUCUCCAUAGAUAAAGGACAACCUUCUUGUAGCUUAACCUACAUUAUACAAAUUACAAUAGUUAAUGGAGUCAUAAGUAAUUUUCAAAUGAAAACACAAAUUAAUAAAAUUACUUGCACGAAAUGACAUCCAUGAACAUGUCCAAUACAAAUUAUGUGAUGUUGAGUUAUAUUAGAAGGUGGUGUGGAAAGUAGUGGGAAAAUAGUAUAAUUUUGAGAGGAUGACAUACACACUAAAAUGACAUUAUAUUCGUUAGCAAUUGCAUGACCAAUGUCUGGUAAUGUCAUCCACUUGUUCUUGUUAGUCUGUUAUGAAUCAAACAAGUUUUUAGAUAAAAUAAACAUUCUAAAUAAAAUACAUAAAACAGGAUACACACUUACGGUCGACUGUGAUUGCACCAACAAAGACUGUUUCAGUUCGUCUACUAUAUGAGUGCCUCCUACUAGUCUUGCGUAUUCAUCACACCAUUGACUGAGUUCGUUGUACAAAUCAUUUCUGAUAGCGGCCAUACCAAAAACACUUUUUAUAACGACUGUAAUAUACUAGGUAUAGAAAGAGAUGCAAUGGCAAAAUCGUAAAUAAAAUAAAUAUUUUUAAAUCAGUUAUACUAAAAAACAAGUAUAAAAAGUGACAUAAUCAUAAAAUUGUAAUAAAUAACAAGAUUUUAUACCGGUUAUAUUUGAAUGAGGUAUAAAAUGAUGUUAUUUUUAUACCGGUCAAACUUAUAACCGGUGUAGAAGAAGAAUGUAACAUUAAAAAAAUAUUUCUAAAUAUUUAAAAUCCUCACAGAUAUUUCUUAUUCCAUUGAAUCUUGUUAUCCCACACUUUCUUUUGUGAUGCAAACCUCUUCAGGUUCUUAAAGUAGAUCACUCUCAUGAAGGAAGAGGAAAAGCCACAAUCAAGGUUUGUCCUAAGUUUUCCUCUUUUUUGUGUCAUACUGACCCUCCCUAAAUGCAUACUUGUUCCAUAAUUUUAUUAAUGAGCAUGCUUAUCUUUAUUUACUUUUGGACGAACUUUUACAUAAGCUAAAAUGCAUAAGCUAAUUUGUAGAAGCACUUUCUAGCUUCUUUUAAUCAUUAUUUUUAACUUGUACAUAAGGUAAUUUUAGCUUAUGGAGAACUUAAUUUCAUUUUUUUUUUCUUGUUUUUCUCUCCUGGUGAAACUUGUUCAAAUAUGUCCUUGGGAAUGGAAUAAUGUACUAUGUUGAAUAUGCCUUAAAUUAGGAAAAUAGUAUUGGUUUAGUGAAUGCUAUCUUGUUAUUUGUCUUUUGAAGGAAAUACUAUUGUAUAUAUUUCUAAAGGUAACUAAUGGGAAGUCUUUUGGCCAUUGUGUCCAGGAAACCCGCUUUGCUCAUAUUUUCUGCACUCUCUUUAAGAUUUUUCUUAACACACAAAAUCAAAUCCUUGGUGCACAAUAUAGUAUGCCUUAAUUUUAUACUGCAUAUCCUAUUUGGUAGAGGAAAAUUUUCAUCAGUAAUUUUGACAAUUUUCUUAUUUAUCUUCACAUAUUAGAAAAGUGGCGAACAAAGUGAAUAUAAAACUAGUUGUGUAAAUGGUAACAAUUUGCUUAUUUAAUCACAGUUAAAUAACUUGUUUUAUGAGUUAAGAUUUCUGGACCCUAUUAUUAUCCAUAAUGAAAGCAUAUAUGUUUGAUAUGUAAAUGCAAAUAAGACAAUAUUUUAGUUUGGCAGCUACUUUAUUUCAUAGCUAUUUGGUAUCUGUCAGUAAAUAAGUUAGACUGUUCUAUUCUUGUUAGGCCUCUACUGGUAGUUAGGAAGAAGUCUGUAUAAAAGGGGUUGGGGUGCUUUGGGAGAGUAAGUUUUGAAGUAUUAUUGUUGUGCUGGAACUUUGGAGUUCUUUGGGGGAGAGGUUAAGCUCUCUAAGUACCUUAAAUUCACCACUUUCUUGUUUCUUUUGAAAUAAAAGGAGGCUGUACAAUUCAGAGGAAUUGUUCUUUGUGUGUUUUCGAGUGUUUUUUUUAUAGGUUCUUGAUUACAAGAACCUAUCAUUUGGUCCGACUUGCCGGAUCAAGAAGGGGAAGAAUCAGCGAUGAGUAGCCAAAUGGAGGGAAGAUUAGACAAUCUUGAGAUCUCCGUGGAGGGCAUUAAGGAGGAGACAACGACAAUUAGAUUACAGCAAAUGAUGAGGAUGAUGGGCGGGGAUCAUAACAAUCAGGAGGGAGGCUCCGAAGGGGAAGUAGCUCCGUGAACGAUAAUAAUGGGAGGCGCGAUAAUGGGGGAAGUCAACGGAAUUGGAGGAAGAGAGUAGACUUACCUGGGUUUGAAGGGCAAGAACCACGUGUUUGGAUUAACAGGGCUGAGCGUUUAUUUGACAUACAGAAGGUGGCGGAAGAAGAUAAGGUAGAGCUCGCUUAUAUGAGUAUGGAAGGGAGUGCGAGUUACUGGUUCAAGAUUUGGAAAGACAAAGCCAAGAACCGUUCUUGGUCGGGCUUGAAGGUGGCGCUGAUAAACUGAUUUGGAGGGGGAUGUUAGGUUCUUGUAAUCAAGAACCUCUAGAUAACACCAGAACACACACCCAACAAUCAACUCAGUAGUGAAUAACCUCUCUUUAUUGCAAAAGAAACACGUAUGUAGCAUACAAAGCACCUAGAGAGCUUAACCUCUCCCCCACAGAACCCCAAGAGUUCGUGCACAAAGACAAUGACUCCAAAAACUAAUUACAAACACCCAUUUCCCCCUAUAUACAAACUACUAAUUGACACUAACAGAAACCCAUUUCCCCCACUUCCUAACUGCCUUGGCAGUUAGGCUAAGUAACUUUCUGUCUCCUCCUAUAUACAAUUAACUCCCUAACAUUACUCCCCUCUCCUCCAACAACCUUGUCCCUAAGGUUGAAUUCCGGAUAUUGCUCCUGUAUAGUCGCCACAUCUUCCCACGUAGACCCCUCUGGCCCUCCCUCUUGCCAUUCUAUCAAAACAUGCGGGAUUUCUUCUCCUCAUAUCAGCCUUGUCCUCCUGUCCAGAAUCUUUACUGGCCAAAAUAGGGGUCUGUCUGCUUGUAACUCAGCUGGAAGUUCCCUUUCAACUCUCUUCUCACCCAAGGCUUUCUUUAGUUGGGAAACGUGGAAUAUUGGAUGUAUUCUUGUUGCCUCUGGUAACUGUAAACGAAAAGCUACCUUCCCCACCUGUUGUAACACCUCAAAAGGCCCAUAAUAUCGUGCAGAAAGCUUCGGAUGCAACCUAGUUGCCAUGGAUGACUGUCUACGGGGUCUAAUUUUUAAAUAAACCCAAUCUCCCACUUGAAUAUCUACGUCUUUCCUUUUUUUAUUUGCCUGAGUAAUCAUAGCCUCCUACGCUUGCCUUAAAUGCACCUUCAGCUGCUUUAAAGCUUCAUCCCUUGUUAA